GCCCCCUUAGCUCAGCGGAUCAGAGCGUGUGGCUUCGGACCACAAGGUCGGCGGUUCGAAUCCGUCAGGGGGUACCA
rnacentral:tRNA from 2 species